rnacentral:rRNA from 1 species
GGAGGGCGCGAGCGUUGUUCGGAAUCAUUGGGCGUAAAGCGCGUGUAGGCGGCUUGGUAAGUCGGGUGUGAAAGCCCGGGGCCCAACCCCGGAAUUGCAUUCGAAACUGCCUCGCUAGAGUCCCGGAGAGGAGAGCGGAAUUCCCGGUGUAGAGGUGAAAUUCGUAGAUAUCGGGAGGAACACCAGCGGCGAAGGCGGCUCUCUGGACGGUGACUGACGCUGAGACGCGAAAGCGUGGGGAGCAAACAGGAUUAGAUACCCUGGUAGUCCACGCCGUAAACGUUGGGUGCUAGGUGUCGCGGGUAUUGACCCCCCUGCGGUGCCGUCGCUAACGCAUUUAGCACCCCGCCUGGGGAGUACGGUCGCAAGACUA